rnacentral:rRNA from 1 species
AACGCGAAGAACCUUACCUACUCUUGACAUCCAGAGAACUUUUCAGAGAUGAAUUGGUGCCUUCGGGAACUCUGAGACAGGUGCUGCAUGGCUGUCGUCAGCUCGUGUUGUGAAAUGUUGGGUUAAGUCCCGCAACGAGCGCAACCCUUAUCCUUGUUUGCCAGCGAGUAAUGUCGGGAACUCCAGGGAGACUGCCGGUGAUAAACCGGAGGAAGGUGGGGACGACGUCAAGUCAUCAUGGCCCUUACGAGUAGGGCUACACACGUGCUACAAUGGCGCAUACAGAGGGCAGCCAACUCGCGAGAGUGAGCGAAUCCCAAAAAGUGCGUCGUAGUCCGGAUUGGAGUCUGCAACUCGACUCCAUGAAGUCGGAAUCGCUAGUAAUCGUAGAUCAGAAUGCUACGGUGAAUACGUUCCCGGGCCUUGUACACACCGCCCGUCACACCAUGGGAGUGGGCUGCAAAAGAAGUGGGUAGUUUAACCUUCGGGAGGACGCUCACCACUUUGUGGUUCAUGACUGGGGUGAAGUCGUAACAAGGUA